UACGCAGGGACCAAGCGUUGUUCGGAUUUACUGGGCGUAAAGGGCGCGUAGGCGGCAAUUCAAGUCAUCUGUGAAAUCUCCGGGCUUAACUCGGAACGGUCAGAUGAUACUGCUUUGCUAGAGUGCGGAAGGGGCAAUCGGAAUUCUUGGUGUAGCGGUGAAAUGCGUAGAUAUCAAGAGGAACACCUGAGGUGAAGACGGGUUGCUGGGCCGACACUGACGCUGACAGCGCGAAAGCCAGGGGAGCAAACGGG
rnacentral:rRNA from 1 species